UCUGGAUCCUCCUCCACCAAUCAACAUCAGCCCUUGGCUCCGUCUGCACUUCCCGGCGGAAUUUGGACCGUAGUCAGCUGACCAUCGAUCGUCACGUGACAGCUCCAUGCCGGAAGACACGGCAAUCCACACCUGGGUUUGACAGUUCCCUUGCGCAGAGUUUAGUCCCCGCCUUCGCUCUUUACCGCCUGACGUUCUCCUUCACUUGGAAAGGCUCAAGUGAUGUAGUAAUACUCAACACACUGGGCUACAGUUUUUGUCUGGAUCUAGUGGAGGAAGAGAGAAGCCAGCUAAGGACAGUGCCUCAGGAGCAGCAGGGACAGAGAGUCACAAAGUCCUCCCGGGGAUGAAGGGGUUCAGAGAGAAGCCACCAGAGUCAACACCAUCUAAGCUCUGCACGCUCUGGGCAACAAGGCUGGCCCAGGAACGCUCCUCUCCAGGAAAACGCGCUCAAAGGUGCACACGAGGACGCUCACUGUGACAGCAUGCGGAGCCACAGGUCUGCCGACUGGGACUUCUAAUUAAAGCAGAGUGUCCUCACGUGGUGGAUACCUCAUAGCCUUAUGCGACAGCUAGGCAGGGCCCUCCAAAAAACCGCAGAGGAAGGAACACUUCCCAACUCAUUCCGUAAGUUCAACAUUUCUCUGAUACCAAAGCCAGACAAAGAUAUUACAAGGAA